UAGGGAAUUUUGCGCAAUGGACGAAAGUCUGACGCAGCGACGCCGCGUGAGCGAUGAAGGUCUUCGGAUUGUAAAGCUCUGUUGAGUGGGAAGAACGGUUUCGUGUAUAAUACACACGAGACGUGACCGUACCAUUCGAGUAAGCACCGGCCAACUACGUGCCAGCAGCCGCGGUAAUACGUAGGGUGCAAGCGUUGUUCGGAAUUACUGGGUGUAAAGGGAGAGUAGGCGGAUCGGUAAGUUAGAAGUGAAAAGCCCAGGCUUAACCUGGGACCUGCUUUUAAUACUGCCAGUCUUGAGUAUGGGAGAGGAAGAUGGAAUUCCAGGUGUAGCGGUGGAAUGCGUAGAUAUCUGGAAGAACACCAGUUGCGUAGGCGGUCUUCUGGCCCAAUACUGACGCUGAGGCUCGAAAGCUAGGGGAGCAAACAGG
rnacentral:rRNA from 1 species